GGCACCCCACCAGCAUCAGCACCAAGGUUUCACAAAAUGAGGCUCAGUGGUGUUACAUUGUUCUUAUUAGUUGUUUUUAUAUAUGUCCUGAUGUUGAAUAUUUCUUCAGAAGGAAGACGCCUUCAAAGCUCUCAACCCCCAAGUAAAGCCCCAUCUGGAUCCAAUGUCGAUAAAUUAAGAAAACAUGACGACGAAAAACAGUGGGGAGGUUGUUGGAAGUGCUGGUAAGAUGAUGUGUGAUUCGCAUUUCAUGUUGUUUAGUCAUGUAAUAUUUGUUGUUGGACACUUGACAUUUAUUCGAAUCAUAACAUUCAUCUUUUGUUUUUUACUUUUUUACGAGUAUAGUAUAUGGACUAGUAAGUAUCCUAGUUUGUAA